rnacentral:sRNA from 2 species
UACAAAUGUACGGCGUACUCAAAGGUGGUCUUGGCUAAAUCCCCUUGAAAGGGGGUGCAGCCUAUGUCAACUUUUCAAGCGUUGUCCCUUAUGUUUUUAUUUGGGAUGUUUAUACUUGCUUUGUUGACGUAUAUAGACAAAAAGAAAUAGACCACCCUUUGAGCCUAGACAACUUGUAGGGGAGGUCCAUUUAUUGUGUACCUUCUAGCCAGCUCACUUUGAGCCAAGCAUUUGUGCAUUGCCGGGAUGUGACAGCAUCCUGG